GACGAACGCUGGCGGCGUGCUUAACACAUGCGAGUCGAACGGAAAGGCCCUGCUUUUGUGGGGUGCUCGAGUGGCGAACGGGUGAGUAACACGUGAGUAACCUGCCCUUGACUUUGGGAUAACUUCAGGAAACUGGGGCUAAUACCGGAUAGGAGCUCCUGCUGCAUGGUGGGGGUUGGAAAGUUUCGGCGGUUGGGGAUGGACUCGCGGCUUAUCAGCUUGUUGGUGGGGUAGUGGCUUACCAAGGCUUUGACGGGUAGCCGGCCUGAGAGGGUGACCGGCCACAUUGGGACUGAGAUACGGCCCAGACUCCUACGGAAGGCAGCAGUGGGGAAUAUUGCACAAUGGGCGGAAGCCUGAUGCAGCAACGCCGCGUGCGGGAUGACGGCCUUCGGGUUGUAAACCGCUUUCGCCUGUGACGAAGCGUGAGUGACGGUAAUGGGUAAAGAAGCACCGGCUAACUACGUG
rnacentral:rRNA from 1 species